AUUCAAGCAAAACAUUGUAAAACGGCCGGUCUCAUUUUUCAAAACAUUGAGAAAAUCAAGGAUGAAAUUUGCAGUUAGUUUUUUAAUUCCUAUUUCAAACGGAUAAAGGUGUCUGCAAAAAUUAUUCACUCAAUUUGUGUAAAACUAGUAUGGUUAUGCAUCCUUAUGUUGAAAUUAAUGAAAAAACAUAAUUAUCCCGAUAAAAUUAAUGAAAAAAGCACAUAGGCCUCGAGCGAAAGUUUUACCAGUGCGGGAUCGGAUUAGACCCUUUGCGUGUUAGCGCCUUUGCAAACAUCGACAGUUUCAUUUUCCAUUUUGGCCCCGGGCCAAACACGAUAACAGUUUGUUUUUGUUUUCCUUUUGUUGUUUUGGCCGCAGGCCAAACCCAAACAACUUUUGCUUUCGUGUUUGGCCUUUCGUUUUAAAAAAUAUAUUUAUUUUUUUUAAUAGUUUUGAGCGGUUAGUGAUCUUUUUUUGACAAAAUUUCAUGUUAUCAAGUGUUCGCUGAGUUUCUCCUCCAUUCGCAAAGCAAGUGGCAAACCUUCGCGGAUUUUUCGAAGCCGAACCAACCGUUGGAGCUGGCCAGUUACAUCUGGUUUUUCGUGCACGGUAUCCCUCGAGUGUAAGCUGAGACUGAAGCCGGAACAGCACCAACCAGGGAAAUUACUUCGCUGGAGACCGUGGACGGUGGUUUGAGAAGUUUUUGGCCACGAGUAGGUGGGAAAAAUGCUUGGCUGUCUUGAGUGAACUGCUUCACUUAGCUUACGGGUGGAUUUGACAAAAAAAGCGAUUCGUAUUUACUGCGACAAGGAAUUGCUAAUCUGAGAUUCAACAUUUAGAGAAGAUAAAAAGUGAUGUUUUAAGGUAGUUAUACAUACUGGUACUAAGACCAUCAAUUCUGUACUUUUCACCUAAUCGAUGUUUGUUAUCAUUACCAGUCAUGAGGAAAGGAUAUUAAAUAAAUUAUAACAUUAAUAUGAUUUGCCGUCGUUUGUUUUAAUAUGUAUAGUAAAUGGCUAGAA